AUGGGGUCUCAGGCUCAGCUGUUCUGCCUCCUGCUUCUCUGCAUCCCAGGUUCCAGAGGGGCCAUUGGGCUGACCCAGUCUCCAUCCUCUGUGGCUGUGUCUCUGGGAGAGAGGGUCACCCUGUCCUGCAGGGCCAGUCAGAGUGUUAGUAAUGACAUAAACUGGUACCAGAAGCCCCCAGGCCAGUCUCCCAGGUCCCUCAUUUACUGGGCCUCCAACCUACACUCUGGGGUCCCUGCCCGGUUCAGUGGCAGUGGCUCUGGGACAGAUUUCUCUCUUACCAUCAGUGGUGUGGAACCAGAGGACAUCGGGGAAUAUUACUGCCUGCAGAAUGAUCUUUUGGUGAUAUUCUGGGGGGGGGGGAUUGAAGUGGAACAUGUAUGCUAA